rnacentral:tRNA from 1 species
GCCCUCGUAGCUCAGUGGAUAGAGCGUUGGUUUCCUAAACCAUGUGCGCAGGUUCAACUCCUGCCGAGGGCACCA